rnacentral:rRNA from 1 species
CGGCGUGCUUACACAUGCAAGUCGAGUGCGCGCCUGUAGCAAUACAGGUGGCGCACGGCGCACGGGUGCGUAACACGUGGGUAACCUGCCCUUUGGUGGGGAAUAACCCCGGGAAACCGGGGCUAAUUCCGCAUAAGAUCCGCAAGGAUGAAAGCCGUAAGGCGCCGAAGGAGGGGCCCGCGCACGAUUAGCUAGUUGGUAGGGUAACGGCCUACCAAGGCUAUGAUCGUUAGCUGGUCUGAGAGGAUGGCCAGCCACACUGGAACUGAGACACGGUCCAGACUCCUACGGGAGGCAGCAGUGGGGAAUCUUGCGCAAUGGGCGAAAGCCUGACGCAGCGACGCCGCGUGGGGGAUGAAGCUUCUCGGAGUGUAAACCCCUUUCGACUGGGACGAAUACCUCGCAAGAGGGGUGACGGUACCAGUAGAAGAAGCCCCGGCUAACUACGUGCCAGCAGCCGCGGUAAGACGUAGGGGGCCAGCGUUGUUCGGAAUUACUGGGUGUAAAGGGUUCGUANGCGGUGUGGCAAGUCGGGAGUGUAAUUUCUGGGCUUAA